rnacentral:rRNA from 1 species
UACGUAGGGUGCGAGCGUUAAUCGGAAUUACUGGGCGUAAAGCGUGCGCAGGCGGUUAGAUAAGUUUGAUGUGAAAUCCCCGGGCUCAACCUGGGAACUGCCAUUGUGACUGCAAGGCUAGAGUGCGGCAGAGGGGGAUGGAAUUCCGCGUGUAGCAGUGAAAUGCGUAGAUAUGCGGAGGAACACCGAUGGCGAAGGCAAUCCCCUGGGCCUGCACUGACGCUCAUGCACGAAAGCGUGGGGAGCAAACAGGAUUAGAAACCCGGGUAGUCC